rnacentral:rRNA from 1 species
AGAGUUUGAUCCUGGCUCAGAAUCAACGCUGGCGGCGCGCUUAACACAUGCAAGUCGAACGAGAAAGUGGAGCAAUCCAUGAGUACAGUGGCGCACUGGUGAGUAACACGUGGGUAAUUUACCUCUUUGUGGGGAAUAACCCUGGGAAACCGGGGAUAAUACCGCAUACGUCCGAGAGGAGAAAGCCGAAAGGCGCAGAGAGAGAAGCCCGCGCCCGAUUAGCUAGUUGGUGAGGUAAAAGCCCACCAAGGCGACGAUCGGUAGCCGGCCUGAGAGGGCACACGGCCACACUGGCACUGAAACACGGGCCAGACUCCUACGGGAGGCAGCAGUGGGGAAUCUUGCACAAUGGGGGAAACCCUGAUGCAGCGACGCCGCGUGAACGAUGAAGCCCUUCGGGGUGUAAAGUUCUUUCGACAGGAACGAUAAUGACGGUACCGAAGAAGAG